rnacentral:rRNA from 1 species
GACGAACGCUGGCGGCGUGCUUAACACAUGCAAGUCGAACGAUGAAGCGCUGUCUUUUUGGCGGUGUGGAUUAGUGGCGAACGGGUGAGUAAUACGCGGGCAACCUGCCCCUCUGCUUCGGGAUAAGCUUUGGAAACGGGGUCUAAUACCGGAUGUGCCUGUCUGGUCGCAUGGCUGGGCGGGGAAAGAUGUUUUUCGGCGGGGGAUGGGCUCGCGGCCUAUCAGCUUGUUGGUGGGGUGACGGCCUACCAAGGCGUCGACGGGUAGCCGGCCUGAGAGGGUGGUCGGCCACACUGGGACUGAGAUACGGCCCAGACUCCUACGGGAGGCAGCAGUGGGGGAUAUUGCACAAUGGGCGCAAGCCUGAUGCAGCGACGCCGCGUGGGGGAUGGAGGCUUUCGGGUUGUAAACCCCUUUCGGCGCGGGACAAGGCUCCGUUUGGCGGGGU